UACGGAGGGUGCUAGCGUUGUUCGGAUUUACUGGGCGUAAAGCGCACGUAGGCGGCGCAGCAAGUCAGGGGUGAAAUCCUGGAGCUCAACUCCAGAACUGCCUUUGAUACUGGGAAGCUUGAGUCCGGGAGAGGUGAGUGGAACUGCGAGUGUAGAGGUGAAAUUCGUAGAUAUUCGCAAGAACACCAGUGGCGAAGGCGGCUCACUGGCCCGGUACUGACGCUGAGGCACGAAAGCGUGGGGAGCAAACAGG
rnacentral:rRNA from 1 species